GUGUUUGCUUCAGCAGCACAUAUACUAAAAUUGGAAUGAUACAGAGAAGAUUAGCAUGGCCUCUGUGCAAAUUCAUGAAGAAUACCAUAUUUAA
ensembl:snRNA U6 U6 spliceosomal RNA